rnacentral:rRNA from 1 species
CUUGGUGAGCCCUCAUCUCUAUAAUAACUCAAAAAAAUUACCAGGAACUUGGAAGCUAAGCAGGGUUGGGCACGGUUAGCACUUGGAUGGGAAAUCGCCUGGGAAUACCAUAGGCCAGGC